rnacentral:rRNA from 1 species
GAUGAACGCUAGCGGCAGGCUUAACACAUGCAAGUCGAGGGGUAGAGGAAGCUUGCUUCCUUGAGACCGGCGCACGGGUGCGUAACGCGUAUGCAACCUACCUUUUACAGAGGGAUAGCCCAGAGAAAUUUGGAUUAAUACCUCAUGGUAUAUAUCAUUCGCAUGUUUGAUAUAUUAAAGUUCCAACGGUAAAAGAUGGGCAUGCGUCCUAUUAGCUAGAUGGUAAGGUAACGGCUUACCAUGGCAACGAUAGGUAGGGGUCCUGAGAGGGAGAUCCCCCACACUGGUACUGAGACACGGACCAGACUCCUACGGGAGGCAGCAGUGAGGAAUAUUGGACAAUGGGCGCAAGCCUGAACCAGCCAUGCCGCGUGAAGGAUGAAGGUUCUAUGGAUUGUAAACUUCUUUUAUUUGGGAAUAAACCCCUUUACGUGUAGAGGGCUGAAGGUACCAAAUGAAUAAGCACCGGCUAACUCCGUGCCAGCAGCCGCCGUAAAAC